CGACGGCGCGCCUCUGCUGGUAAGAAUCCCCUCCCUUUCUUUUACUUUUCGUUUUCUUUCUUAAAAAAAACGAAGUAAAAUACAAAAGAAAAAGAUGAGACAAAAAAGAAACAGUAAAAAAAAACUUGGAAAGAACAAAUCACCUUCAAAAAUUUGUUUUUUCUAAUUCUUUUCUUUCGUAUUUCAGUAUUUUUCAAUAUAUGUCUGUGUAACCCUUUUACAGAUUUGAUUUGGCUUUAUAUAGCCGAAACAACGGAGAAAGAAACUAUCGAAAAAAAACUCUCCCCCCCCUCUGUCGUCUUCUCUGCCAUUAUUUUUAUUCGUGGUUCAUGGCUUGUUGCCGGUGUGGGCGUUGGAGAACGUGGGUGAGACAACGUGGGCAGUUGCUAUGCAAUCAUGCGUGAAGACGGUUGCUGCAACGUGGGGGCGAGGGUGAUGUCGAUCUGCUGCUUAUUGCCAAAUGUUUCUGCUGUUCAUUUUUUUUUAUUUUAGGCUAGUGGGUCAGGUAUUUGGGUUAAUGACUUGGGCUUGUAAUGGGUUUGGGCUUUAGGCUUAGUUGGGCCCGGGUCAAAAAUUGGGUGUUACAGCUGCCCCUCUUUGCUUGUUGUCGUGUAACGGGAACAGAGCAAAGACUAAAAAGCCCAAUUUUGCCCGGUCAUGCUGAACCUUGGCGCUCUUCAAGUAGCCUCAUUCCAA
rnacentral:lncRNA from 1 species